rnacentral:lncRNA from 1 species
AUAUUUUAAAUUCCACAUAUGAUAUCAUAUGGAAUUUCUCUUUCCUAUAUUUUAAAUUCCACAUAUGAUAUCAUAUGGAAUUUCUCUUUCUGACUUACUUCAUUUAGUAUGAGAAACUCUAGUUCCAUCCAUGCUCCUGCAAAUGGCAUUUUUUUGUUACUUUUUAUGGCUGAGUAGUAUUCUGGUGUGUACAUGUACCACAUAUUCUUAAUCUAUUCAUGUAUUGAUGGACAUCUAGGCUGUUUCCAUGUCUUGGCUGUUUUGAAUAGUGCUGCAAUGAACGUAGAAAUGUAUGUAUCUUCUUGAAUUGUAGUUUUGUCCAGAUAUAUGCCCAGGAGUGUGAUUGCUGGAUUAUAUGGUAGUUCUAUAUUUAGUUUUCUGAGGUUUUCCUCCCAGUUUAUUCUCUUUCAAGAGAAUAGUAGCAAAAGGUGAAGCCACUGCUUUGCUUUUCUUACAGCUAUAUCAUGAUGGCAGGGGUUGGAAAAGAAGCAUUAGAAAGUAGUAGUCGUAAAAAUAGAUCUAAUUUAUCCCAAUCAUAAACUUACUCAGAAUGCAUAUUCACAAUCAAUUAUGUCUUCUGGCUUCCUGAUCUACAUGACCAGAGAGAAGCCCUUUCCUGGUGUUUGAAAUAUAACAUAUUGCUGCUGUUGAAAAAGGCCUUGUGUUUCCCACAAGUAGCAACUAAUUUCUGAUAGAAUCUCUAGUUUUAAAAAAUAUAUUUAAUGAAUUUGUUUGAUAACUUUAAAACAUUUCUUAUUUAAAAAAUACUUUGUCUUUUUUUGUAUUGCCAAAUAAUUCCUUGUAUACUUCCUUUAGAUAGACUAUUUUAGUAAUAAAAUCUCUCCCAUCUUUUCCCUGAUCAUUCACUGUUUUUACUGGUGUUGAGGGUCAUACUUCAUUCAUACUUCUUUUCUUUCUCCUCCCUUCUGUCACUGUUCUGUAUUCUCUCACUUCCUUGGGCAAUUUCAUGCUUAAUUUUUCAUCGUUUGCUUUUGUUUCUGUAUAAAAACUGAUCUUUUAUAAGACCUUUUGUAUUUUAUUUAGAUACUUUCUCCCUUUUGACAUUACAUUAUUUUCCUUAAGAUUUUCCUUGAAAAAAGGAGUUCCCAUCAUGGCUCAGCAGAAACAAAUCUGACUAGUAUCCAUGAGGAUGCAGGUUCAAUCCCUGCCUCGCUCAGUGGGUUAAGGAUUUGGCAUUGCCGUGAGCUGUGACGUAGGUCAUAGACACGUCUUAGAUCUCAGGUUGCUAUGGCUGUGGUGUGGGCUGAUGGCUGCAGCUCUGAUUUGACCUCUAGCCUGGGAAUCUCCAUAUGCCACAGGUGUG